GCUGAAUUUUAAAAGAAGAGAAUAUAAGUGGAGGAGAGGAACAAGAAGAGGAACUAGGGUUUUGGAGGAGAAAUCAAGAGGUUCUGGAGUUUAGUAGCUCGUGCGUGAUCUAGCCGGAGAUUUUUCCAUGUUUGUUGGAGAUUAAGUAGUGAGUCGAUGCUCUGGUCAUGUAACACUGGGUAGAUUAGUCGUGUUGAACUCAUGUUUCUAUUUGGUUAUGUAUUAUGUUUAUGACUUGAGAACUUGUUAUUUGGCUACUUGUUGUUUGAGAGGCUUUCAAGCCAAAUAUCCUGAAUUAUGUUUUAAUUUAUGUUGAUAUGAUUAUUGAGACUUGAUCAUGGUAUGGGACAUGGAUCAUUUUAUGAAACACAUGAGUAUUUAGUA